UCUCUCAAUAAAAAAAUAAAAUUUUCAUAAAUACCUCAAAAUCAAAAAUAAGGAGAUUUAUUAUUAAAAUAGGACAAUUUUGUCCUUCCUUACUAAGUAUCGUUAUUUACCAAAGAGGAAAGAGUUCCUUUCCAAAUUAAUAACUAAAACUCAUCUUCAACCUUAUUUUCAAAGCGAAAUCAUGCCAUUAGAGCAACUACAGAGCUCCAAAUUCUGCCACAAUCAGCGUACGAGCUAUUAAUCUUCACGAGAUAUGAUUUAACCUUCGAUCUCAACACAAUCAAGCAACAAAUCACCAAAACUAACAAGGUAAACGAGAAAUGCAGUUUAUAGAUUUUUUUAAAUGGAAGGUGCGGCAGAGAUCCGGCAACAGUUCGGCUCCUACUUGUUGUCCCUUAGAUUCCUACUGAGAUAUGGAGGACGAAAUAGGUAACUAAGGUUUCAAAUUUUUGGUCUAUCGAGAAUGGAUCCGACUAGCAAUUUGCAAAUUCGUGUUAGCACUGUAAUUAGAGGUAACUUUGGGUGAAUUGAUUUCUAUUUACCGAUGGGUGGAUUUUGUAACUGAGAUAUGCAAAUUUGAUAUCUGAGGUGGAUUUUGUUAUUAUGAUUAAACUGGGUAAAAUAUCAUUAAAUGAAGGUGUCCAUGAUAGGUGUUUGAAACUAUAAAGACCCAAGAAGAAAUGUACACGGAAUUUGCAGCUAAGAUUGCUGAAUUUAAGGCAAUCUGAAACUGUAAAACAUGCGGAUUCAUUUGCAUUGCUCAUUGUUUUUAUAUGCAUACAUGAUUGAUGGAUAAAUAAUUAGGGGCUCUGAAUCCUUGGAUUGGUAUCAAGAACUCGUAUAGUACACAAGAUGAAAGGACAUCCAGAGACAAGUCUGCAUUUAUUCAACCAGAAUUGAUAUUCGUUGAGAACAGUGGUGCAUUUUACUUUACCCAGAAAUACGUGUCGAAAAUAAACUUGAAAUCAACCUGAUGUAAACCAUCCCAAAAAUAAAAUAAUUUUAAAAUCUAUAAUGCAUAUUUUUUUUAUGUUUUUUUCAUUGGGUUGGUUCAGGUUUUGUAUAUUUCGAAGAAUGUUUUGGUCCUAGAUUGUUGCCAUUUCUAGCUCUAAACUGUAAUCUAAUUUACCCGGGAUUAAAUACUCAUAGUCUAGUUUCACUUA